rfam:Danio rerio chromosome 14, GRCz11 reference primary assembly.
CUUGUCCUCAUUUAUAAGUCGCUUUGGAUAAAAGCGUCUGCUAAAUGACUAAAU